AUUGAACGCUGGCGGCAUGCUUUACACAUGCAAGUCGAACGGUAACAGGCCGCAAGGUGCUGACGAGUGGCGAACGGGUGAGUAAGGCAUCGGAACGUGCCCAGUCGUGGUGGGUAACUACUCGAAAGAGGAGCUAAUACCUCAUACGAUCUAUGGAUUAAAGCGGGGGACCGCAAGGGCGAGCGCGGUUGGUGCUGCCGAUGUUAGAUUAGUUAGUUGGUGGGGUAACGGCUGACCAAGCCAACGAUCUGUAGCUGGUCUGAGAGGACGACCGGCCACACUGGGACUGAGACACGGCCCAGACUCCUACGGGAGGCAGCAGUGGGGAAUUUUCGACAAUGGGCGCAAGCCUGAUCCAGCAAUGCCGCGUGAAGGAAGAAGGCCUUCGGGUUGUAAACUGCUUUUGUAAGGAACGAAACAGUUUUGGUUAAUCCCUGCGCCUAAUGACGGUACCGUAACAAUAAGCCCCGGCUAACUACGUG
rnacentral:rRNA from 1 species